GGUACUACAAGACCGAUUCAAAAACUCGCCAUUUUGUGUUCUGCAGUUUAGCUUCUCAAAAUCCCUAACUCAGGUAACUCAUUUUUUCAGAUUUCUACUGAUUCAAAUGUCAACAUCUUCGUUUGACAGUGAUUUUUUGUAUUGGUUUGAUUUUGCUGAAUUGAAGUGAUUUUGUUUUGAUUUUAUUUUGAUGAGUUAAAGUGAUUUGUUUUGUUUGGUUGACUUCAAAUCAUUUUUUUUUGUUGGUAUAAAGUGAUUAUUGUUUAGUUAAAGUGAUUACCAUUUUGUGAACUGAGAUGAAACAAUUGGUUAGAGAUGUGAGUAUAGUAAUAGAUCUGAAACUGUUUUCAUUAUAAGGCCUCUGUUACUAAUAUUUUUUUUCUUUCUAUUUUCCCCUUUUUACCCUCUGCUGGUGUAUUAUUUUAGUGUGGAAUGUUUGUUUGUGUGUGCUUAAUUGCCUUGCCACUCUCUUAUUUUGGGAGGAAAAAAUUUGUACUUGUGAAUCACAAAGUUAGGCAUUUUAACAGCUUUCUUUUAUCUUUUGCAGUUACUCCUAUAAGCUAUAGCUAUUUUGUGUGUGUGAAUGACAUUAGAAUUGUAUAGGAAGUAAAUUGUGAAAAGUAAAUAAUUACUAUUUGAAAAAGGACAAAACUUACAUGCAUUUCCAUACAUGCAUUUCUUACUUUUCCACUCACAAAGAGGUGGUUAUUUGUGUUUUUUCAUUUUGAAAAAGUAAAAGAAAAUUAUUUUUUAAUAAAAAAAACUACCUCUUUGUGAGAGGAAAAGUAAGAAAUGUAUGUAUGCAAAUGCAUGUAAGUUUUGUCCUUUGAAAAAUAAGCUGAAAUUAAUAACACCUGAGACUAUAAUUAUCUUGUUUGUAAUUUGGUUAGUGAAGGAAGGUUUCUUGGUAGAGUUUACUUCCAAAUGUGUCUUAAUAAUUUCCAUAAUAUAGAGAUGGGGAAAUUAAUUCAAACACAAGAGAUAGAGCUGUUUUUCUGCCAUUUGGCUCACAGUUGUUGCCUAGCCGCUGAUGCUUAUUUCUAGUAUGGGGUAGUUUGCUGUUUUCAACUUUUUAGCAUGCUUUAUUUGUAUUAGCUUUGUUAUUUUGCUGUUUGUUGAUGGCCCGUGGUCUGCUUGUUUUGGACUAGGAAGUCACUAUAUUUGUUCUUGUACUAUGGUGGCCUAUAUAGCACUUCUAGUCUUAAACAUAAAGAAUGAGGUGCAUAAGGUCUCCCCUGUUUGUAAUUACUUUUGGUUUUCCCUAGCAUUCCUUGUGAUGGGUUAACUAGUUUUAAUAUAGUGUUUGCUGAUUUUAAAAAAAUAAUGUUAUGGUGCUAAAUGUGAAUCCCAUUUGGUUUGGUUUAUUUGUUUCUUUAUUUAUCUUUCUCUAUUAAGCUCAAACUCGGACUGUUGUAGCUCAUUGUUUGUUGUUGCCUUAUUUGUGGUUUGGUUAAUUGGAAUUUGGGAAGCUAAAUAUGAUGAAUUUAAGAUUAACAAUUGUGGAGUUUGUUGUUUGACUAAUUGGACUUAAGAGAGUAGUAGGAGUGUUUCAUUUCAUGUUAUUGUGACAAAUAGUAGUGGACUAGUAGUGGUUCUGAUUGUUUUGAGAGAUAGUAUUGGGUUGUUUUUACAAACUGCUUCACCUUAGACUCAAGUGCCAAUUCUCCAAAUUUUGAGAUAGCUUCUUUUGACAGUUCAGUAAGAAACUCCAUGUUUCUUUUGACAAGUUAGAGAACAAUGUGUUAGAUCAUGCAUAUACGAUUACGUAACUAUGGUUAUAUAUGUUUCUUAGUGGUCUGUCUUUUUCUUUAGAACCUCUGAUUUCUAAUCAAUUUUUUGUUUCUGCAGAACUCAACCUCUCUUUACCCAGACAGUCGCAAUGUUUUCUUCCCUGAUAUUUGCAUUGCUUUGAACCUUUAGGUAAGUGAGCCACAAAACCUUAUAAACACAUGUUAUAAGUUAGCAUGUAUGUUUGUGAUUUGGGUGCUUUUGACCUCUGUUAUAUAUGAACUCUAAUAUGAUACUAAUUAAUCUCAUUGAGCAAAAGCAAAAUGUAUCUAUCUUUUUAGAGAUGUUGUUAUAGUUUUUGUUAGCUUUCCAUUCAAUGUUUGCUUAGUUUUUGUUACCCUGUUGAAAUUGCAAUGGUAUUAUAGUUUCGUAUGUAGUUUCAAACUAUAUGUUUUUUUUUUCCUAUUAGAUUUAAAGUGAUGGACAAAGGGUGGAUCAAAGUUGAAGAUGAUUCUGAUCUGGAUGAUACUUUAUUAGACUUCAUGGACUAAAAAGACUAACUUUGGAAAUAUGUUGAUUUCACGUCUUUUUUUUUUUAAUAAUAUUUGUCCCUUCCCCUAUUAGUUUNNNNNNNNNNNNNNNNNNNNNNNNNNNNNNNNNNAGCUAUUUGCAUCGUUCUGACUUGUUUGUUAUCAAUGCUUGCAGUGUUGCAUGUUUGGAGUCUCACGAUGGGAUCGACAUAUUUGGAUGCAUGAAACAAAAAGAUAGAAGAGAACAGAAAAAGAUUGGAGGCUCUGAAUGUACAUAAUCUCUCUCAAUCCCUUUACAAAUCAUCUUCCAUCACAAAACCCUCGGUAAUAAUCCUUUUCCUUCCUUUUUUUUAAAGAAAUAGAAGUACAAUAAGUCCUACAUAUGAUGUACAAGUACAAUUAACACUAAGUUAAAACUAUAUGAAUUAUUAAGGACAGACGCAUUUAGUGUAAGAUGAAUUAUGAACACAUUUAGUUUCAAUUACAAUAUUUUUUAUAUGCUGAAAGUUAAUAAGGAAGUAGAAAGGAAGCUUUAGAAGUAAAAAAAAGAAACUUUGUA
rnacentral:lncRNA from 1 species